CUUACAAGCUGUGGAAGCACAUUUCUUGUGUGACCGCGUACUUUUUGUAGAACGGGCCAACGAGUUACGUUAAGUAGCAAGGUUAAGCACUUAAGGUGCGGAGCCGUAGCGAAAGCGAGUUUUAACUGAGCGUUCAGUUACUUGACGUAGACCCGAAACCGGGCGACCUACCCAUGAGCAGGAUGAAGCGAAAGUAAAAUUUCGUGGAGGUCCGAACCCACGAGCGUUGAAAAGCUCGGGGAUGACUUGUGGGUAGCGGUGAAAUUCCAAUCGAGCCCGGAGAUAGCUGGUUCUCCCCGAAAUAGCUUUAGGGCUAGCCUCAAGGUGAGAGAUACGGAGGUAGAGCACUGAAUGUCCUAGGGGGUAUUGCACCUACCGAAGACUAUCAAACUCCGAAUGCCGUCAUCUUAUACUUGGGAGUCAGACUGUGGGUGAUAAGAUUCAUAGUCGAAAGGGCAACAGCCCAGAUCGUCAGCUAAGGUCCCUAAAUGUAAGUUAAGUGGUAAAGGAUGUGGGAUUGCACAGACAACCAGGAUGUUGGCUUAGAAGCAGCCACUCAUUCAAAGAGUGCGUAAUAGCUCACUGGUCGAGUGAUCCUGCGCCGAAGAUUUCCGGGGCUAAAACUUACUACCGAAGCUACGGCAUCAGUAAUGAUGGGUAGGGGAGCUUCCCAUACGGGUUGAAGCAUGACCGUAAGGACAUGUGGACAGUAUGGGAGUGAGAAUGUUGGCAUGAGUAGCGAGAUGUGGGUGAGAAUCCCACAGGCCGUAAACCCAAGGUUUCCAGGGGAAGGUUCGUCCGCCCUGGGUUAGUCGGGACCUAAGCUGAGGCCGAAAGGCGUAGGUGAUGGACAACAGGUUGAUAUUCCUGUACUACCGAUAACCGUUUGAGAGAAGGGAUGACACAGUAGGAUAAGCUAAGCACACUGUUGGUUAUGUGUGCCCAAGCAUUGAGGCAGUCAAAGUAGGCAAAUCCGCUUUGAUAAUGCUGGGAUGUGAUGGGGAGCGAAAUUUAGUAGCGAAGUAGCUGAUUUCACACUGUCAAGAAAAGUCUCUAUCGAGGUUAAAGGUACCCGUACCGCAAACCGACACAGGUGGGUGAGGAGAGUAUCCUAAGGCCAGCGAGAGAACUGUUGUUAAGGAACUCGGCAAAAUGACCCCGUAACUUAGGGAUAAGGGGUGCCACCAUCAGGUGGCCGCAGAGAAUAGGCCCAAGCGACUGUUUACCAAAAACAUAGGUUUCUGCUAAGUCGCAAGACGAUGUAUAGGAGCUGACGCCUGCCCGGUGCUGGAAGGUUAAGGGGAUCUGUUAGAGCAAUCGAAGCAGUGAACUUAAGCCCCAGUAAACGGCGGCCGUAACUAUAACGGUCCUAAGGUAGCGAAAUUCCUUGUCGGGUAAGUUCCGACCCGCACGAAAGGCGUAACGAUUUGGGCACUGUCUCAACAACAGACUCGGUGAAAUUGUAAUUCCGGUGAAGAUGCCGGAUACCUGCGACAGGACGGAAAGACCCCAUGGAGCUUUACUGUAGCUUGACAUUGGGUCUUGGUACUACAUGUACAGGAUCUGUCUCUUAUACACAUCUCCGAGCCCACGAGACCGAGGCUGAUCUCGUAUGCCGUCUUCUGCUUGAAAAAAAAAAAAAAAUAAAAACUAGCCUCUGGAAUAGGU
rnacentral:rRNA from 1 species